rnacentral:rRNA from 1 species
AUGACGUCAAGUCCUCAUGGCCUUUAUGACCAGGGCUACACACGUACUACAAUGGCAGGUACAAAGGGCAGCCACUUAGCGAUAAGGCGCGAAUCCCGUAAAACCUGUCUCAGUCCGGAUUGGAGUCUGCAACUCGACUCCAUGAAGUUGGAAUCGCUAGUAAUCGCAGAUCAGCACGCUGCGGUGAAUACGUUCCCGGGCCUU